rnacentral:rRNA from 1 species
UACGGAGGGUGUGAGCGUUAAUCGGAAUAACUGGGUGUAAAGGGCACGCGGGCGGGCUUUUAAGUGAGGUGUGAAAUCCCCGGGCUGAACCUGGGAAUAGCAUUUCAGACUGGGAGUCUAGAGUACUUUAGGGAGGGGUAGAAUUCCACGUGUAGCGGUGAAAUGCGUAGAGAUGUGGAGGAAUACCGAAGGCGAAGGCAGCCCCUUGGGAAGGUACUGACGCUCAUGUGCGAAAGCGUGGGGAGCAAACAGG